rnacentral:rRNA from 1 species
UACGUAGGGUGCAGGCGUUAAUCGGAAUUUACUGGGCGUAAAGCGUGCGUAGGCGGUUUGUUAAGACAGGUGUGAAAUCCCCGGGCUUAACCUGGGAACUGCGCUUGUUACUGGCAGACUGGAGUGUGGGCAGAGGGGGGGUGGAAUUCCAGGUGUAGCAGUGAAAUGCGUAGAUAUCUGGAGGAACACCGAUGGACGAAGGCAGCCCC